rnacentral:rRNA from 1 species
UACGAAGGGGGCUAGCGUUGCUCGGAAUUACUGGGCGUAAAGCGCACGUAGGCGGCUUUCUAAGUCAGGGGUGAAAUCCUGGAGCUCAACUCCAGAACUGCCUUCGAUACUGGAGAGCUUGAGUCCGGGAGAGGUGAGUGGAACUGCGAGUGUAGAGGUGAAAUUCGUAGAUAUUCGCAAGAACACCAGUGGCGAAGGCGGCUCACUGGCCCGGUACUGACGCUGAGGCACGAAAGCGUGGGGAGCAAACAGG